rnacentral:tRNA from 2 species
GCGAGGGUCGCCCAGUCCGGUCAAAGGCGUUAGCUUCAGGGGCUAAUCCCGAAGGGGUUCGUGGGUUCAAAUCCCAUCCCUCGCACCA